CGGAACGGGUGAGUAAUAUAUCGGAACGUACCGAGUAAUGGGGGAUAACUAAUCGAAAGAUUAGCUAAUACCGCAUAUUCUCUGAGGAGGAAAGCAGGGGACCUUCGGGCCUUGCGUUAUUCGAGCGGCCGAUAUCUGAUUAGCUAGUUGGUGGGGUAAAGGCCUACCAAGGCGACGAUCAGUAGCGGGUCUGAGAGGAUGAUCCGCCACACUGGGACUGAGACACGGCCCAG
rnacentral:rRNA from 1 species